UACGGGAGGCAGCAGUGGGGAAUAUUGCACAAUGGGCGCAAGCCUGAUGCAGCCAUGCCGCGUGUAUGAAAAAGGGCCUUCGGGUUGUAAAGUACUUUCAGUCGUGAAGGAAGGUGUUAAGGUUAAUAACCUUAGCAAUUGACGUUAGCGACAGAAGAAGCACCGGCUAACUCCGUGCCAGCAGCCGCGGUAAUACGGAGGGUGCGAGCGUUAAUCGGAAUUACUGGGCGUAAAGGGCACGCAGGCGGUUAAUUAAGUUGGAUGUGAAAUCCCCGGGCUUAACCUGGGAAUGGCAUUCAAGACUGGUUAGCUAGAGUCUUGUAGAGGGGGUAGAAUUCCAUGUGUAGCGGUGAAAUGCGUAGAGAUGUGGAGGAAAUACCGGUGGCGGAAGGCGGGCCCCCUGGACAAAGGACUGACGCUCAUGUGCGAAAGCGUGGGGAGCAAACAGGGAUUAGAUACC
rnacentral:rRNA from 1 species